rnacentral:rRNA from 1 species
AUUGAACGCUAGCGGGAUGCUUUACACAUGCAAGUCGAACGAGUGGCGGACGGGUGAGUAGUCUAUCGGAACGUGCGCAGGAGCGGGGGCUAACUACUCGACAGAUCAGCUGAUACCGCAUACUAUUGGAGCGGCCGAUAUCGGAUUAGCUCGUUGGUGGGGAAAAGGCUCACCAAGGCAACGAUCCGGAGCUGAUUUGAGGGGACGACCGGCCACACUGGGACUGAGACACGGCCCAGACUCCUACGGGAGGCAGCAGUGGGGAAUUUUGCACAAUGGGGGAAACCCUGAUCCAGCCAUCCCGCGUGUAUGAGAAGGCCUUCGGUUUGUAAAGGACUUUUGGCAGUGAAGAGGUAUCUGCAGAAUAAGCACCGGCUAACGACGUGCCAGCAGCCGCGGUAAUUC